UUGAACACUUGGUUCCUAGAGGUUGUGGCUCUGCCUGGCUGGUGGAUGUGGGGCCAUAUAAAUAGGCUUUCAGGAGUACAGGCUGACUCUACUUCUGGUCUUUCUCUGUUUCCUGAUCUGCCAAGAUAUAACAAGCCAUGCCACAAGAUCUCAAUGCCAUGGAUGGCCCCCAGCUCCCAAGGCUCCCCUGCCAUGAUGUACUGCAUCCCUUAUAAACAAGCGCACUCGCCCCAUGCUCAUGUCAGAAAGGAUCCAGAGAAGUAACUAACAGAGUGAUGGUGUUUAAUCACCAUGAUGGCGUUGCUGAUGGGGGUGGUGAUGAUGACAGGAUUCCUGAUGAUGUUGCCCAUGGUGAUGGAGCUGCUGAUUUUGAUGAUUAAAAACUGAAAGUCCUUGGUUGGAGCCCAUUCAGGCUUUCCCCAGCAGGUCUGCAUAAAGAGGAUGACUGGACCACGGGCCUGAGUACCAGUGUGGUCAAGGUUGAUGUUGGCAUCUGCAUGGAUAUGAGACUGAGUCCUGAUCCUGCCACUGAGGGGCUGAGUGACCUUACGCGAGUCACGUGACUCCAGUGAGCCUCGCUUUCCUCAGCAGCUGCACAGAAUGGAAGGAGUAGUGGACAAGCAUUUUUGCGACUCUGCAGGAAAUGAUGAUGUACUCGAGGCAAAGAGAUUUGUGCCAGCCCAGAGGUCUUGUGGAACAGAUGUACUCCUCUGCAUCCUUCAGCAUAAGGCUUUGUACACCGCGGGGCCUAGUGAACACCCCUGAAUUCAGAGUCCUUGGUGGAAGGGUCUUGAAGCUAGGCUCAAACUCCAGUCCCUUAACUUCUUGUCAUGACACAGGAACAUCACCGCUCAGGAAGUCCCCGAGUCAUCUCUGACUCCCAACAAGGAAGAGCGGACCCACCUGCAUCCAAGCAACAUGAAGCACCAAGAGGGGGCACUAUCCACAUCCCAGCAGUCAGUGGGUGCUUCCUAUGUGGGAACUCACUUUUAUCAACAGCCCUAGGAUCUAGAUACAGAGGCAUGAGCAACUUACCCACGGCCUCCCAGCAAACAGAUUUUCUCCACCCGCCCCUAUCCAGUUCCACUUCUGAAAGGGGCUGGGGCCUCCUUGGAAGAGAAGGGUGCCCAGUGUGAUGGUGAAUGCUAUGUUUAGGGAUAAAUGGACUGCUCUAGACUUGUAAGGACAAAAUGAUUUUUCAACUUGUAUAAGCCACGAGGAAGUCCCUCCUACCUUGAACGUGCCCUGCCGUCAGCUGGCCUGAGACAGACCACUUCCUGGUGUAGCUGGGCUACUCCUAAAAAACUGCUGAGGGUUGAAAAAUGUUUCACCAUCUCAAGGUAAUGGGUCACAAGAUUAAACAGGCUGACGGCUAAGUGCUGCUCUUGUGUGAAACGCUUGCUGACUUGGACGGCUUGGCUGAGGCACCUGAAGGACGUCUGUCACAAAAUCAAACCUUGCCUGCACCCAGACAGGAUAUGAGUUAAUUUGACUCCCCCAAAUGAUAACUACUUCAUGGUUUUUGCCUUUAUAAUCAAUCUUUUGGCUAACAAUAGCCAGGACCUCACCUAAAGAAGCCUCUCUGGUUUGGUGGUCCUGGCCAGUCUCUUCUUAAU